rnacentral:ncRNA from 1 species
GAAUAUACGCUGGGGAGCUGGAUGAAUCCGGCUGAGAGGGGACUGUUAUUGUACCGACCCACAUAACCUGAACUAGGUAAUACUAGCGAAGGGAGCAGUUUGACUUAAGUG